UACGUAGGGUGCAAGCGUUGUCCGGAAUUAUUGGGCGUAAAGAGCUCGUAGGCGGUGUGUCGCGUCGGCCGUGAAAACCUGCAGCUUAACUGUGGGCUUGCGGUCGAUACGGGCAUCACUGGAGUUCGGCAGGGGAGACUGGAAUUCCUGGUGUAGCGGUGAAAUGCGCAGAUAUCAGGAGGAAUACCGGUGGCGAAGGCGGCAUCCUGGACCAACACUGACGCUGAGUGAGCGAAAGCCAGGGGAGCAAACGGG
rnacentral:rRNA from 1 species